AACGAACGCUGGCGGCAUGCCUAACACAUGCAAGUCGAACGAGACCUUCGGGUCUAGUGGCGCACGGGUGCGUAACGCGUGGGAAUCUGCCCUUGGGUUCGGAAUAACAGUUAGAAAUGACUGCUAAUACCGGAUGAUGACUUCGGUCCAAAGAUUUAUCGCCCAGGGAUGAGCCCGCGUCGGAUUAGCUAGUUGGUGAGGUAAAGGCUCACCAAGGCGACGAUCCGUAGCUGGUCUGAGAGGAUGAUCAGCCACWCUGGGACUGAGACACGGCCCAGACUCCUACGGGAGGCAGCAGUGGGGAAUAUUGGACAAUGGGCGAAAGCCUGAUCCAGCAAYGCCGCGUGAGUGAUGAAGKCCUUAGGGUYGUAAAGCUCUUUUACCCGGGAUGAUAAUGACAGUA
rnacentral:rRNA from 1 species